AGAGUGGGGGUUAAAAUCAAAUGAAGGAAAACUAGCAGGUGCAAUUGAGGCUCUUAUCGGAUUUCGUCUCAACAAGCAAGCUUCUGUGGAGGGAUGAAUUAUGAAAUUUAAAGUAUCUUUGAUGAAAGAAAAUCAUUCUAUUGUGAUAACCAAGGGUGUUACUAGCUUUCAUCGUUUGGGGGACUACGUUAUGCUAUAUACCCCUAGCCAUGGUUGUUUCCUCGAGUCAAAAGAAAAACAAAAUAACCAUAAAAAAAAAAAACGUAGAAGAGAAGAAUAACCAACGAUGAUGAUAAAAUGAGUAUCAUUAUGACUUUUCAAGUUCAUUGACUGCAGAAGAAAAUGAAAAAUUCGACAACAGUCACUGGUCGAUAUAUACUGAAUAUACCCAACCUUUAAUAUAUAGCGACCCAUUAUAGAACAAGUCAUCAGGAAACGACACUAAUUCUUUAAAUAUUUUAUUUAUGCAGUCUUUUUUUUGUAGAAGAAACGGCCAUAUAUUACGAUUAUGAAUUAUAGAUUAUUUAUUCGUGAA
rnacentral:lncRNA from 1 species